UCCUACGGGAGGCAGCAGUGGGGGAUAUUGCACAAUGGGGGGAACCCUGAUGCAGCGACGCCGCGUGGGUGAAGAAGCGCCUCGGCGCGUAAAGCCCUGUCAGCAGGGAAGAAAAUGACGGUACCUGAAGAAGAAGCCCCGGCUAACUACGUGCCAGCAGCCGCGGUAAUACGUAGGGGGCAAGCGUUAUCCGGAUUUACUGGGUGUAAAGGGGGCGCAGACGGCGAUGCAAGCCAGGAGUGAAAGCCCGGGGCCCAACCGCGGGACUGCAUUGGGAACUACCGGGCUGGAGCGCCGGAGAGGUG
rnacentral:rRNA from 1 species